UUGCCACUACAAGCAACAAGCCUGAAGUCAACAACUAUAUCUAUAAUUGUGACUGAUCCAAUGCCUUAUGCAGCCAAAAGAUUUGAAGGGGUGCUAUAACACCACAGAGAUGACAGGACUGCAGCUUUCCUGUGAAAUAAAUAAUGCUGCUAUACCAUGCAAAUGUAGAUGUAAGAUUUUCCACAUGCUCGGCUUGUGUUUGGGUGGAGGAUGGCACAGAUUCUCACCGUCUCGCUGUGCUGUCUGUGGAAGAGUGGGACAAACUCCAAGGACUUGAUCUUGUGUAGAACCUGCUGAAAGUCCUCUUUCUGGAUGUCCUGAGGUAAGAUUCCGCAGAUCGGACUGUUCGCCCCCUCCAUAUUCUCUCUCUGGAAAGCGUGAGAAUGAUGUAGCUCAGGGGUGUCCAGUCUUAACCAAAAGGGGCCGAUGUGGGUAAAGGUUUUUGCUUUAGCUCAGCACUUUAACCCCAAAUGUGGUCUUCAAUCAAGACACCGAUAAGUAGUGUCAGGUGUAGUAGUGUUGGGCUAAAACAAAAAUAAGCACCCACUCCGGCCCUUUUCGAAUAAUAUUUUGACACCCCUGAUGUACAGUAGCUAAACAAGCCAAAAGUAGUUGGUAGUUCCUGUACUACACCUCAAAAUGGUAAAAAAAGAGUAAUUUACCACUGCAACCACUACACAGAUUUGAAUUUAGUUGAACGACCAGCAAACAGCUGCAAAAUAUCAAUUUUGUUAGUUAAAACUACUCCCCAACACUGCCAGGUACGUUGUCCUACAAGUUAUGGUUAUGAUGGACGGACUGCAUUGCAAUGGUAAACCUGUUGAAAUGGCUGUUGCUAAUUGCACCGACAUAGGUACAGUUACAAAAAUACAUGAGUAACAAGCUUGUUUAUGAAUGUUUCUGUGGUUUAGUUUAAAACCUCAUUUGAAUUUUCAGAAAAUAUGCACAUGCAGCAUCUUAGCCGCCCAGGGCCAGCCCUAGGAUUUUGGUGGCCCUAAACAGCGUUCGAACGGGGGGGGGGGCUGUUAUGAAAUGUUCUGUUGUCAUUCCAUUACAAAUUAAUACUGCUAGUUCCGCCAUAGGGGAUGAAUAACGUAAUUAUUUACCUUAGAUAAACAUUGGAUCGUGUGCGCACCCCCCCCUGUGGUCGUGUGGCCCGCCCUAGGUUGUGGCCCUAAACAACCGCAUAGAGUGUUUAUGCCACGGGCCGCCUCAGAAGUUUGUGUUGGAGGUGUUACAUUAAGAAAAGUGUACGACAGGUAAAGCACACAAAACAAAUAUGUGGCUUGUGUGGCUGUGCAAGAAUUUCACCAGACCUCCUGCAUCUCCUGGAUUUCAGACUGCAGAGAUGGGUUUUGAGGGGGGGUAGGGUGAUGUCCUGUGAGGGAACUCUGACGGCCAGCUGCACACCUGUCAAACCUGUCCAUAACAGACUGGACACAUGAGUCAUCCACAGGCUCAGAGCACUAGCUGGUGUCUUUGUGGUGAUGUCACAGACAACUAUUCUCAGGCUGCUCAAAACACAAAACAAAAACUGUUACCAGGGAAACAUCUAGACAUGAGAAGAAUAGGUCAGAAAAGGCAUGGGAGAGGCCUGCCCCGCAGACAAGCCUGCUCAGGUUUUGGCAUCAUACUUGCUUUCUAUUCUAUUGACUAACCAUCUGCCCUUGCCUCGUUACCUCAUUGUAUUUAUUUAUUUUUUGCAUCGUCUUUUGGAUUGUAUGUACUACAUCUUGUAUGUGACUGUUUUAUAACACUUUAUAUAUUGAUUGUUUAAUUGUAUAAGAAACAAAUAAACCCUAUUAUUAUUAUUAUAAUUAUAAUUAUUAUUAUUAUCAUCAUCACAUUCCAUGGGAGGGAGAUGCAGCAGUUUGCAACAUCCUUUUCCACAUGGAGCGAAUGAGACAGCGAAGCUACAUCAACACAAAAACAAAUAAACAGCUUCAGUGGCAUUUUCUUUCCCUUUGUCUUCUGUGCUUCUGACAAACAAAAAUUUCAAACUCGCUCACUCAGCACGUGCUCUCAGUCUCAGCCCCAUACUGUGGAGAGGAACACACCUUUAAGCACCUGGGCUGAGUAGUUACACAACCCAGGCGUGUGUGUUCUCUUCACCGGUAAGCGUGAGUAGCAGUAGUCUUCACUGACUGAACUGCAGUAAUGAUUUUUCACCUCUAGAUGGCAGAAAAUAUGGUUGAAGCCACUGAGCAGUACCAGUUAUGUCUGAAAGUAACCAAAUAAAGUGAAAAUAAAUUACAUUUGUUGGACGUCUACAAAUAUUCUAAGGUUAGGUCUUAUUACUAGGGCCACCAGUUUGUCUCCCCUUGUUUUCUCACAUGGCACUUCAGUCCUCCACCAGCUAGAGGUCGCGAUAGUCACUUGAGUGUGCUGUUAGAGUGCCCAUGGGGGCCCCUGGAGGAUAACCAUUGAAAUACAAUCCCUGCAGGUCACACGGUGGAGACGAACCGGUGCCACUACUACAUUAGUGGAUAUCAAUGGUUGGAAUGAGUAUGAUGUGCUUAAAUGUAUUCUCUUUACAUGUCAAUAGCUCAGGAUGGACAAUAUAUGGAGACCAUGAACUGUCUACCUCAGGAGUUCCUGUUGUGAAUUCUCCUGCAACCGCAUCAACUCCAGCUGCAUUCCCUUUCAAAAUAAAGACAGAGCAGCAGUAAAUCCA